rnacentral:antisense_RNA from 1 species
CAUAACCAAAUAUAACACCGGGGCUAAGGGUCAAGUUGGUUAUCAUAUAUACUGCCAAAAUAAAGAGACUUGAGUACUAGAAGAAAAGCACCUAGACCUAACAAAAUUAAAUGAAUAUACAAAAGUCUAGUUAUUUUAUUUCUAUCAGUGCA